AGGCAGUGUAGAUAGAUGAUUUGAAAUUAUAUCAAUCACUAACUACACAGCCAGG
rnacentral:pre_miRNA from 2 species